CCUACGGGAGGCAGCAGUGAGGAAUAUUGGUCAAUGGGCGCAAGCCUGAACCAGCCAAGUCGCGUGAAGGAUGACUGCCCUACGGGUUGUAAACUUCUUUUAUCAAGGGAUAAAGUCAGGCACGUGUGCCUUUUUGUAUGUACUUUAUGAAUAAGGAUCGGCUAACUCCGUGCCAGCAGCCGCGGUAAUACGGAGGAUCCGAGCGUUAUCCGGAUUUAUUUGGUUUAAAGGGUGCGUAGAUGGGUGGUUAAGUCAGUUGUGAAAGUUUGCGGCUCAACCGUAAAAUUGCAAUUGAUACUGGCAGUCUUGAGUACAGUUGAGGUAGGCGGAAUUCGUGGUGUAGCGGUGAAAUGCUUAGAUAUCACGAAGAACUCCGAUUGCGAAGGCAGCAUACUAAACUGCCACUGACAUUGAUGCUCGAAAGUGUGGGUAUCAAACAGGAUUAAAUACCCGGGUAGUC
rnacentral:rRNA from 1 species